rnacentral:rRNA from 1 species
GCCUGAUGCAGCGACGCCGCGUGCGGGAUGGAGGCCUUCGGGUUGUAAACCGCUUUUGUUCAAGGGCAAGGCACGGUUUCGGCCGUGUUGAGUGGAUUGUUCGAAUAAGCACCGGCUAACUACGUGCCAGCAGCCGCGGUAAUACGUAGGGUGCGAGCGUUAUCCGGAUUUAUUGGGCGUAAAGGGCUCGUAGGCGGUUCGUCGCGUCCGGUGUGAAAGUCCAUCGCCUAACGGUGGAUCUGCGCCGGGUACGGGCGGGCUGGAGUGCGGUAGGGGAGACUGGAAUUCCCGGUGUAACGGUGGAAUGUGUAGAUAUCGGGAAGAACACCAAUGGCGAAGGCAGGUCUCUGGGCCGUCACUGACGCUGAGGAGCGAAAGCGUGGGGAGCGAACAGGAUUAGAUACCCUGGUAGUCCACGCCGUAAACGGUGGAUGCUGGAUGUGGGGCCCUUUCCACGGGUCCCGUGUCGGAGCCAACGCGUUAAGCAUCCCGCCUGGGGAGUACGGCCGCAAGGCUAAAACUCAAAGAAAUUGACGGGGGCCCGCACAAGCGGCGGAGCAUGCGGAUUAAUUCGAUGCAACGCGAAGAACCUUACCUGGGCUUGACAUGUGCCGGAUCGCCGUGGAGACACGGUUUCCCUUCGGGGCCGGUUCACAGGUGGUGCAUGGUCGUCGUCAGCUCGUGUCGUGAGAUGUUGGGUUAAGUCCCGCAACGAGCGCAACCCUCGCCGCAUGUUGCCAGCGGGUGAUGCCGGGAACUCAUGUGGGACCGCCGGGGUCAACUCGGAGGAAGGUGGGGAUGACGUCAGAUCAUCAUGCCCCUUACGUCCAGGGCUUCACGCAUGCUACAAUGGCCGGUACAACGCGGUGCGACACGGUGACGUGGGGCGGAUCGCUGAAAACCGGUCUCAGUUCGGAUCGCAGUCUGCAACUCGACUGCGUGAAGGCGGAGUCGCUAGUAAUCGCGGAUCAGCAACGCCGCGGUGAAUGCGUUCCCGGGCCUUGUACACACCGCCCGUCAAGUCAUGAAAGUGGGUAGCACCCGAAGCCGGUGGCCCGACCCUUGUGGGGGGAGCCGUCUAAGGUGAGACUCGUGAUUGGGACUAAGUCGUAACAAGGUA